GACAGAGGGUGCAAACGUUGUUCGGAAUUACUGGGCGUAAAGGGCGCGUAGGCGGCCUUCUAAGUCGAACGUGAAAUCCCCGGGCUCAACCCGGGAACUGCGUCCGAUACUGGAAGGCUUGAAUCCGGGAGAGGGAUGCGGAAUUCCAGGUGUAGCGGUGAAAUGCGUAGAUAUCUGGAGGAACACCAAUAGCGAAGGCAGCUCGCUGGGACGUUACUGACACUGAGACGCGAAAGCGUGGGGAGCGAACAGG
rnacentral:rRNA from 1 species